rnacentral:rRNA from 1 species
CCCUUAGAUGUUCUGGGCCACACGCGCGCUACACUGAUGCAUUCAACGAGUGUACCUUGGCCGAGAGGCCUGGGCAAUCUUUUGAACGUGCAUCGUGAUAGGGAUAGAUUAUUGCAAUUAUUAAUCUUGAACGAGGAAUUCCUAGUAAACGCAGAUCAUCAAUCUGCAUUGAUUACGUCCCUGCCCUUUGUACACACCGCCCGUCGCACCUACCGAUUGGAUGGUCCGGUGAAGCCUCGGGAUUGUGGCGGUUGCCUUUAUUGGUGGCCGCCGCGAGAACUUGUCUAAACCUUAUCAUCUAGAGGAAGGUGAAGUCGUAACA